rfam:Camelus ferus unplaced genomic scaffold scaffold2020, whole genome shotgun sequence.
GAGGGUGUAGCUCAGUGGUAGAGUGCCUGCUUAGCAUGCAUGAGGUCGUGGGUUCAAUCCCUAGUACCUCUA